rnacentral:rRNA from 1 species
GGGGGGGGGGGGGGGGGGGGGGGGGGCGGGGGGGGGGGGGGGGGGGGGGGGGCUGGCUCCUGGGGUCAGCGGCGGACGGGGGAGUAAUGCCUAGGAAUCUGCCUGGUAGUGGGGGAUAACGUCCGGAAACGGGCGCUAAUACCGCAUACGUCCUGGGGGAGAAAGUGGGGGAUCUUCGGACCUCACGCUAUCAGAUGAGCCUAGGUCGGAUUAGCUAGUUGGUGGGGUAAAGGCCUACCAAGGCGACGAUCCGUAACUGGUCUGAGAGGAUGAUCAGUCACACUGGAACUGAGACACGGUCCAGACUCCUACGGGAGGCAGCAGUGGGGAAUAUUGGACAAUGGGCGAAAGCCUGAUCCAGCCAUGCCGCGUGUGUGAAGAAGGUCUUCGGAUUGUAAAGCACUUUAAGUUGGGAGGAAGGGCAGUAAGUUAAUACCUUGCUGUUUUGACGUUACCAACAGAAUAAGCACCGGCUAACUUCGUG